rfam:Triticum aestivum genome assembly, contig: Triticum_aestivum_CS42_TGACv1_scaffold_592143_7BS
AUGAUACUCCCUCCGUCCGGAAAUACUUGUCGGAGAAACGGAUGAAUCUAGAUGUAUUUUAGUUAUAGAUAUAUCCAAUUUUAUCCAUUUCUUCGAUAAGUAUUUUGGGACGGAGGGAGUAGUAU